UGCGUUUGUGUGUGUGUACAUUAUCUUCAAUAAACAGAUAUGGAUCUAAACAAAAUUAACGGAAUUUAUCUUGUAGACACAGAGAAUAAGAAACCUGUGGAGAAAUUACAAAAUCUUCCGCUAGGAGAGCCGCUGAAAAUUUUCCCAGACUAAUUCGUGCAGACGAAAUUUGGAAAGACAGUACUGCUCGAGUUGGAGAAGCAUAUAACGUUUCUACCGCAGAGUUACAAAGACCUACGAGUAAUUUAUAAAUCAUUUCGAAAAAGAAAAGUACGCCAUCGUGUUCAGAGGGCUGAUCAAUACGGGGAAAGCCAAUCCUGCAACAUCCUUCGAAAUUGUAGAAAAUUGAGAUAGUUAUAUACCCUCCGCCCCUCAGUACAACAGAAACAUGUUUCAUCGCUUAACUUUGAGAAUCAUCUCCGUUCAUUGCUUCACCACGUUUGACCAAGGUUCGAGUUUUUCCAGCGGUAGAUACCGAGUAGUACUUCCAGCUUCCGUUUGCAGCGUUCAGCAAGCAUUCAUUUGUGUAUUUGUCGCAGGAAAAACUUUUUUUUUUUUUGAAGUUGAAAAUGGUGUUUUCAAAAACUUUAUCGCAAAUUGAUAAAUUGCUUGAAUUAAUUAAACAAAAUUAUUCAAGUUCCGUUGCACGAACGUCGUUGAAUUUGAUUAGUAGGCAUAUUAGAAAAUGUGAGUCGGCAAUGAAAAAAAUUAAAUUUUCACUGGGUGAAAAAAGAAAAUUAUUAGUAAAAUUUGGGAAUUGAAGCGCAUUAGAUGUAUAAUAAAUGUUAUGAAAAACGAUAAGUAUAUUGGAUCAGGUUUGAAACGAAGCAGUAGAGUUAAAUGGGAAAAUGUAAAUGCAAUUUUCUAAGGUAAAGUGAGGACAGGUGUAAUUAUAAAUUUAGCGCACAAAGUGCCAAAAUUUUUGAGUGAUGCAUAUUUUCUUUUCAAAUCUAGAAUUUCCAAAAUUCCAAAGUGAACAUGACAUUAUUGGGGGAUUUCAUCAAAAUAUCGAAUGACGGGGAAAUUAUCGAUAGAAAAUAUUUCAAUACUCGUAAUGAAAUCAUUGAUUUGGAGACAGAUUUGUCUACUUGGUACAAUGAACAUGUUGUGGAUGUUAUUUUGAAUAAACUCGAUGAAUUUCAGGAAAGAGACUCUGGUUGGGCAUUGAGUAAAAUUCUUUUGCUUGAGGUAGCAAUCAAUAAAUAUGAAAUGGGCAACGGUGCAUCAUUCAUACGUUUACCCAAAGAAAUUGCAAACAAGUAUGCAUGUGUGAAUCUUGAUAAUCAAGAUGAUGCGUGUUUCUUCAGAGCAAUCGUAAGUGGUUUGUAUCCUCCCAAAGGAAAGAUUACACGUGCAUCUUCAUAUCCAAAUUAUGAUUCGGUUUUAAAUAUAAAGGGUUUGGAAAUUCCUAUGCCAAUUCGCUGCAUCACAAAAUUUGAAAAACAAAACGAUAUUUCUGUGAAUGUAUAUAGUUUAGAAAUUAAUGUUGUCAAUGAAAAGACAUUUUAUGAAGUAGUGCCUGCACG